UUAUUCAAGGUUAGAGUGGGGUGCUCAUUUUCGCCACAUCUUUCCAUGUUUUCUACAGUUUAUGUUCAGGUCAAAAUGUUUUUGAAGUAUACUGAUAUUUCUAUAUGAAGAUAACUUCAAAUGCAAAAUAUGCCUAAGCUUGAAACCGGUUUGUUUUAAGAAAAUCAUCUGAAAAGUUAGAUUAAAGGGUGUUUGAAAUUUCCGGAUGUUUUGUCAAUGGGGGACACAUAUUCGCCGUUUUUACACAUCUAUUUAAAACCAAAUAACCGCAGCUUUUAACAAUUUUUAUCAAAUCAAUUGCAUUAUAGAUGAAUAGCAGAUAUUUCAAAGGUAUAAAGAAUUCAAAAUUAGGGCAUUCAGUCAAAUAUUUACUUAGAAAUACUUCUUUGAAAUCGUGUUUUUUAUUCAGGAAAUUGUCCGAAAAUCGUUGUCCGUUUUUCGGUCAUUUUCGGUAGGAGCCGCAAUUUUGUCUCAGUUUAAAAAAAUAUUAUAUUUGUUAUAAAAAUAUUAUUUACGGGUACAUUUCUUCCAUUUCAGCCAUCCUUUGAAGUUUUUACACCUCAAAAUCCUUAAACGGCGAAAUUGUGUCCCCGGCGAAAAUGAGCACCCCACUCUAUAGG
rnacentral:lncRNA from 1 species